rnacentral:rRNA from 1 species
UAACUGAAGAGUUUGAUCAUGGCUCAGAUUGAACGCUGGCGGCAGGCUUAACACAUGCAAGUCGAGCGGGGGAAGGUAGCUUGCUACUGG